AAAGAUUUAGUUAAAAUAUUAUAACAUUAACUUGUCAAGUUAAAAUCAUUUAUAAAAAAUAAUUUUUA
rnacentral:tRNA from 1 species